rnacentral:rRNA from 1 species
GGGAUAACACUGGAAACAGGUGCUAAUACCGUAUAACACUAUUUUCCGCAUGGAAGAAAGUUGAAAGGCGCUUUUGCGCCACUGAUGGAUGGACCCGCGGUGCAUUAGCUAGUUGGUGAGGUAACGGCUCACCAAGGCCACGAUGCAUAGCCGACCUGAGAGGGUGAUCGGCCACACUGGGACUGAGACACGGCCCAGACUCCUACGGGAGGCAGCAGUAGGGAAUCUUCGGCAAUGGACGAAAGUCUGACCGAGCAACGCCGCGUGAGUGAAGAAGGUUUUCGGAUCGUAAAACUCUGUUGUUAGAGAAGAACAAGGAUGAGAGUAAAACGUUCAUCCCUUGACGGUAUCUAACCAGAAAGCCACGGCUAACUACGUGCCAGCAGCCGCGGUAAUACGUAGGUGGCAAGCGUUGUCCGGAUUUAUUGGGCGUAAAGCGAGCGCAGGCGGUUUCUUAAGUCUGAUGUGAAAGCCCCCGGCUCAACCGGGGAGGGUCAUUGGAAACUGGGAGACUUGAGUGCAGAAGAGGAGAGUGGAAUUCCAUGUGUAGCGGUGAAAUGCGUAGAUAUAUGGAGGAACACCAGUGGCGAAGGCGGCUCUCUGGUCUGUAACUGACGCUGAGGCUCGAAAGCGUGGGGAGCGAACAGGAUUAGAUACCCUGGUAGUCCACGCCGUAAACGAUGAGUACUAAGUGUUGGAGGGUUUCCGCCCUUCAGUGCUGCAGCA